rnacentral:misc_RNA from 1 species
GAUGAAGAACGCAGCGAAAUGCGAUAAGUAGUGUGAAUUGCAGAAUUCCGUGAAUCAUCGAAUCUUUGAACGCACAUUGCGCCCUUUGGUAUUCCGAAGGGCAUGCCUGUUCGAGCGUCAUUAUCACCCCUCAAGCCCUCGGCUUGGUGUUGGACGGUUUGGUGGAGGCCCCCUCGGGGGUUCCUGCCCCUCCCAAAGACAAUGACGGCGGCCUCGUUGGACCCCCGGUACACUGAGUUCUUCACGGGACACGUAUCGGACACAUGGGUUUACGGGACACGGUCUGCCUCCCCUCAGGGAGAAUCUUUCUAAGGUUGACCUCGGAUCAGGUAGGGAUACCCGCUGAACUUAAGCAUAUCAAUAAGCGGAGGA